rnacentral:rRNA from 1 species
UACGGAGGGUGCAAGCGUUAUCCGGAUUCACUGGGCUUAAAGGGUGCGUAGGUGGGCAGGUAAGUCAGUGGUGAAAUCUCCGGGCUUAACCCGGAAACUGCCAUUGAUACUAUCUGUCUUGAAUACCGUGGAGGUGAGCGGAAUAUGUCAUGUAGCGGUGAAAUGCUUAGAUAUCUGGAGGAACACCGGUGGCGAAGGCGGCAUCCUGGACCAACACUGACGCUGAGGAGCGAAAGCCAGGGGAGCAAACGGG